rnacentral:rRNA from 1 species
ACAUAUUCUAUCAAAUAUUUCAAUUCAUUAUUAUAAAUUUACUAUUAAAUCCUAUUUUAUUAAUUUAAUUAUUAUUAAAUCUAAAUUUAAAUAACAUUGUAACCCAUAAAAAUCUUAAUAACAAGCUGCACUUUGAUUUAAUUUUCAUAUUAAAUAUAAAACUAAACUUUAAUUAUAAAAUUUAUUCAAAUAACAAUACACAAGCUUUAAUUAUAUUAAGUAAUACUAAACGUGGUAUAUCAAUUACAAUACAGGUUCCCCUAAAAUUUUAGAAUACCGCCAGGUUUUUUAGGUUUCAUAAUAAAUAAAAACUAAUACCCUUUAAAUAAUAAUAAAGA